CACGCCGUCGCUUCUUCCUCUCCCUCUCCACUGCUCUUCUCUUCUCUUCUUCUUGCUUCUUCUCCUUUUCUGAAUCUCCGAUCGACGCCCACGCCCACGCCCACUCGCCCAGUGCCACGUCCACACCGACGACGCCCAGUGCCCACGUGAAAGUUUCUCUCGCAGCGCAGCUACGUUUCAUUGGACAACUAGCCUAGUUCGUCUACCACAUUUGCUGCAAGUAUUUUCUGGUAGAAGUUCGACCUCGAAGUUGAUGGCAAAUCCAGGUAAGGGGACACAACUUUAAAACUCGGCGAAAUUUUUAAAUAAAAUCUUUUCAAGAGUAAAACGUCGAGAAUUUUCAAAGGACUCUUUCACUUUAAUAUUACUUGUUAUUUUUUUUUUCUUCAAUUAUAAUGAUUCUUUUAUGAAAUGUAAUUGAACCUCCUUAUGAU